rnacentral:rRNA from 1 species
GAAAACUUUACAAUGCUGGAAACAGCGAUAAGGGGACCUCGAGUGCCAGGUUACAAAUCUGGCUGUCGUGAUGCCUAAAAAGCAUUGCAUAGCAAGGGCCGGGCAAGACCGGUGCCAGCCGCCGCGGUAACACCGGCGGCUCGAGUGGUAACCGUUAUUAUUGGGUCUAAAGGGUCUGUAGCCGGCCGGAUAAGUCUCUUGGGAAAUCUGGCAGCUUAACUGUCAGGCUUUCAGGGGAUACUGUCUGGCUCGAGGCCGGGAGAGGUGAGAGGUACUUCAGGGGUAGGGGUGAAAUCUUGUAAUCCUUGAAGGACCACCAGUG